rnacentral:tRNA from 13 species
UCCGUCGAGCCGGAGUCGAACCAGCGACCUAUGGAUAUCUGCAUCUCCGCACCUACAGUCCACCGCUCUGCCAACUGAGCUAUCGACGG